AAAGCUCAAAUUUAAAAUCUGGCGUCCUUAGGGCGUCCGAGUUGUAUUCUGGAGAAGCGUCUUCCGCGCCGGACCGUGUAAAAGUCUCUUGGAACAGAGCAUCAUAGAGGGUGAGAAUCCCGUCUUUGACACGGACUACCGGGGCUUUGUGAUGCGCUCUCAACGAGUCGCGUUGUUUGGGAAUGCAGCGCUAAAUGGGUGGUAAAUUCCAUCUAAAGCUAAAUAUUGGCGAGAGACCGAUAGCGAA
rnacentral:rRNA from 1 species